rnacentral:misc_RNA from 1 species
GAACCCUUAAUCACCCUUUUUGCUCAGCAGCCAGAACAGAAGACACUGUAAAAAAGGAAAGCCUCGUUUUCUUCUUCGCUUCUUUCUCUCUCCGUGAACCAAAUGGAGGCUCUACGUGUAACGCCGUCGCAGGCACCUCUUCUCCGCCCUCACCGCCGAUUCAAAUUGACUCCACAAACAUUCCCUGGAUCCCACAAGACUUCCAUCAAGCCCUUCAUCAAUGCUGCCCUCUCCAAAUCGGCGGCGGAGGUCCCUCCAUUGCCUACGCCAUCGCCUGCACGCCCCUUGCCGGCCUCCUCCUCUAAUGUUUCUACUGCUGCAAAGAAAGUUUCCCCCAGUUCUCUCCAGUACCCGCCCGGUUACCUCGGGGCUGUACCUGACCGUACGGUUCAGGACGGGACUAAUAACAUUACAAAUGCCAUGGAGUACUUGACGAAUAUACUUUCUUCUAAGGUUUAUGACGUCGCGAUUGAAUCUCCCCUGCAGGUCGCGCCUAAGCUGUCAGAGAGAUUGGGGGUUAAGGUUUUGCUCAAGCGAGAGGACUUGCAGCCGGUUU